rnacentral:rRNA from 1 species
UACAGAGGGGGCAAGCGUUGUUCGGAAUUACUGGGCGUAAAGCGUACGUAGGCGGUUAUUCAAGUCAGAGGUGAAAGCCCGGGGCUCAACCCCGGAACUGCCUUUGAAACUAGAUAACUAGAAUCUUGGAGAGGUCAGUGGAAUUCCGAGUGUAGAGGUGAAAUUCGUAGAUAUUCGGAAGAACACCAGUGGCGAAGGCGACUGACUGGACAAGUAUUGACGCUGAGGUACGAAAGCGUGGGGAGCAAACAGGG